rnacentral:rRNA from 1 species
UACGUAGGGUGCGAGCGUUAAUCGGAAUUACUGGGCGUAAAGCGUGCGCAGGCGGCUAUUUAAGCUUGCUGUGAAAGCCCCGGGCUUAACCUGGGAACUGCAGUGAGGACUGGAUGGCUGGAGUGUGGCAGAGGGGGUGGAAUUCCACGUGUAGCAGUGAAAUGCGUAGAGAUGUGGAGGAACACCGAUGGCGAAGGCAGCCCCUGGGCUAACACGUGACGCUCAGGCACGAAAGCGUGGGGAGCAAACAGG